UACGGAGGGUGCGAGCGUUGUCCGGAAUCACUGGGCGUAAAGGGCGCGUAGGCGGCGCGGAUAGUCGGCGGUGAAAGCCCGGAGCUCAACUCCGGGUCGGCCGUCGAUACUUCCGGGCUUGAGCACUGUAGAGGCAGAUGGAAUUCCGGGUGUAGCGGUGGAAUGCGUAGAGAUCCGGAGGAAGACCGGUGGCGAAGGCGGCCUGCUGGGCAGUUACUGACACUGAGGCGCGACAGCGUGGGGAGCAAACAGG
rnacentral:rRNA from 1 species